UUCAGACAAGGCAGAUUCUAAAUUCUCUGCUCUCUUCUAUAAAGCUCCCCGCUUGAUAUAUCAUGAUUUCCAAAGGGAUCAAUAACCUUCAAGUACAUGAAAUAGGCAAUGGAGCCCUCCCUAUUUCUUUCCCCCAAAUUUAACAUAUAGUCUCUUCUACUGAUUUUCACAUGGGCUCAAGGUUCUGUGCCAUACUGGUCACCCUCCCUGGAGGAUAUAGCUUUCCAAUAUCCCUUUUGAAAGCUGUUUUCCCGAACUGAUCAAAACACUCCAAAUAAGGAUUCUGUAAACUUAAAAAAAUUAUAACUAUUUCAACCGAAUUGUUUUUAUCUGUAGGGAAGGAGAAAGCAGUAUUUGUAUUACUAUGUACCAGGUACUGUAUUAAGUGCUUUACAAUUAUUAUCUCAUUUGAUCCUGACGACAACCUUGAGAGGAUUUUGAGAAGGGUUCAGAGAUUUCACCAGACUGGCUGAUAAAGAGAUCCUUGCCACAUAAAAGGCUGGGAACCCUUCCACUUAGAUGGAGUCUGACCCAGAAAUCUAUACACAAAAGAUACCAGAAGAUGUGGAAGUGGUUGCCAUAGGAAAGGCUGGACCAGUCCCUGCCCAUCAGCCGUGAGUCUUGCAUACAUCUUUCCUUAAGCAAUUUAUGGGACUGUUUAAAAACUAGGAAGGUUCGGCCCUCUCUGUCCCUUCUCAAUCAACCCAGUAAAAGCACAAAGAGAGCAAAGAAGAUUGAGGACAGAUGGGUCUUUUUCUUGUCUCCUAGUUUCCCGUGGCUAAUGCAUCCAACACCAACUAGGCAUCUACCACCUUUAGCCUGGCUGGGCUUUGGAAAGCAGAAAUCAUCCCUGCACAGAUUUGACUUGAAUCCUUUCUGACUCGGUAUGACCCUCCAGAAAGUGGGCUCUAUUGACAUGGCCUAUGAGAUCGCAGAACCACAUUUGUGUCACAAGAAGCUCAGAGGAAGAUCUGGGGAGGAAGUUUACAGUAAAAAAAAAAAAAAUCCCAGUGGGAAUGAUCAGGCCCUGAUCACCUCUCACCUGGAAUAUUGUAAUAAACUCUUAAUUGAUUUCCUUCCUUCCAGCCUCUCCCCACUCCAAUUCAUGUUUCCUUGCUCUGCCCAAGUUUUUCCCUAAACCACAUAGCUGACCCAUCACUCUUCUGCUCCAUACCCACUGUGGCUCCCUAUUACAUUCAGGACCAAAACUACAUCUCCUCACUUUGUAUUUUCAAAACCAACAGAAGCAACUCCCAUCCUGCCUUUCUAACAUGAGUUAUUACAUUCUAUCCAUGUUAUUUCCUGCAAUGAUUAACCUAAAUUGGUCUCAUCUCCGAGUUCCUUCCCAGUUUCAUUUAGGUCUAAAUUCCAAUUCUGCUUCUCGCUCUCUACGUGAUCUUGAACAAGUCAUUGAACUUCUAAAGGAAAUGCUUCAAAUCCAAAAUAGAAACACAUUAGUUUAUUCCCCUGAUUUUUAAAAGGAGAGAAGUGAGAUCAGAGAGAGAGUAACUUGGCUAAGAUAACACAACCGAUAAGUAGCAAUGCAGGAUCUAGGGAUGGGGAGAGAGCUAGUUUGCCUGGGGAACUCCAGGAGAAAUAUGAGCAAUGUUUCUGCUGAUUCUUGAUGGGAAAGCCAUCAAACCUCCUCUCUACCCCUGAGGUCCAUGACUGUUAUUCAGUCAAAAAACAGAAAAACAAAAAACACGGCCUUGGCUACAGGAUUCUCUAGGAAUUCAACGAUAAAAGCAAUAUAUUAGAGCUGGGGCAUCUAGUCCAACUCUUUCAUUUUCCAAAUGAGGGCCUCCUCCAGGAAGUCUGCCCUGAUUCCCUUUGGCAAUAACAGCCUUGGCCCUCAGACCUCACAAGGUGAUUGUUGCUAUUCCUCUCAAAUAGACUUCUAUAAUAUCACUUAUUAUGUAUUAGUGUUGCCUGGGAAACGCUGACAAUGAGAAGAGAGAAAUAGAGCUAUUGCUUCUUUCCAUUUCCAUCUUAGUACCUUUGUUUCUGUUGGUACCUUCUCUAUCUGGAAGCCAUAUCCCCAUCAAAACACCCCAAGGUGAGGGGUGAGCAGGGCAGUUGCCAUGAGUAGGAAACUUAGCCCGAUUGGAUGUCAGCACCCCGGGACACAGCUCCAUUGGCCUUGUACUAGUUAUGGUUCCACUGGGUUUCUUCAUUUGCUUUGAAGAGGCUGCCCUGGUGUACUGAAAGAAAAGCCUGUAGUUCAAGGCUCUGUGAGUGUUGGUUUAUCCCUUGCUCUAUCCGGGCUUCAGUUCUGCUUCUAUAAAACAAAGUUGAACAAGCUCUGAACUCUAUGACACUGUUUCCCCUCUUUGCCUUAUGAUGGAAAGGGAAGCUCUGGAAGCUAGGAAACAUUGGUCAUGGUGUCAUAAUGAAAGGGGGUUUGGUCUUACCUUUUACUAAUGGGGGAAAAAAGUCCAAGAAAGAAGACAGAAACUUCUGAUAUUUCAUAAAAUCUAGAAUCUCCAAAUUGUAAGGACCCUUAGAAGGCAUCCAUUCUAAACUAUUAUUGAACAGGAAUCCUUUCACUCAAACCAGCAAUCUAUAAACAUUUAUGAAAUACAAAGGGCUCUGCUUUGUGCAGGGGGUUCGGGGACAAAGAACAAAAUAACGGGAGAUAAUAUACAAAUAUAGUCAUUAUAACCAGAAUGUGUCUGGGUGUCUGUUUAACAAUCAACUCUCUGGCUUGCAUUUUAUUUUGCUUCUCUUUUUUUCUUGUGUGAC